rnacentral:lncRNA from 1 species
AGUGCAGCUCAGAGCCCUUCCGGUUUACAGCCGCGGAAAAACAACUCGGACCAGAUCCGGGAGGGGAAUGGGGGCUGGGUGGCCAAAAUUCAGUCCAGAGGAUCGAAGCGGCUGCUUUAACAGAAGUUGGGGCUGCGUAACAACAGCUCCAAGCAAAGCUUCAGGCUGAUCGGAAAGAUGAGGAAGCAGAAAAGAGACUAAAGACAGACGGACAGGAUGGCUGGGGACAACGACAGGGACCCAGUGAAAAUACGGGCAAUACCGAGGGCUGUAACCCUAACACGGGCAAAUUUGGAGGGGCUAACAUGGGCGGAAACCAUCCGUACCAGUCACCACCACUGUCUCCAGCUGUCCCAGAACCGGACUCUUCCUGCCAUCAAAAUGGCGGCGGCGACGGCAGCGGUGGUAGCACCUACGCUGGCGGUGAGCAGGCAAAGGAAGUUGCUUCCGAGCGCGUCGAAACGAUGAUGCGCACGCGCAAAGUAGGCCUACGUGGAGCCGACCUGCCAUUGGGUAAACGCAAGGGAGGAGAAAAGAAUCAGCUGCUUCCCCAAAAAGCCAAGGGUACUUUUAAUGGAAAAUGAUAUUAGAAAUCAAGAUUUGGACAUUUGGGAUGUUGUUGCUUCUAGACACUCUCAGCUGACAGAGCAAGGAAAUAUUUGUGGAUAUGCUAACCUGACUAAAUACGCAUAUCUGCUCCAUACCUACCUAACAUCUAUCUUCUCAAGAACUCUGCCAGGGAAGGAGUAGUUUCUGUGUUUCAUAAACAGACUGAGACUCAAAGAGGCUAAGUAAACUACCUGAAGCCAUAUAUAGCAACACACAAUGACGGAUGUGAGAUUCAAACUUGGAUUUAUCUGGCUCCAAAAUUUCUAGUUUUUUUUUUUUUUUUUUUCCCACUACAGCAAAACUAAGGAGAAGAGACAGAGAAAACACUAGAUCUGAAUAACAAAGGAUGCAUACUUAAGCAAACUAAGGCAUAUAUAGUUAUCACUAAAUGCUCAACCUGGAAAGAAUACUGGAUUGCAGUCUGCUUUUUCUGUAAAGACAAUAGUAUUAUAAAACCGAAAGAGACAACAGGGAAUAUUUCCCACUCAACUAAGCAUAUCUAAAAGCACAUUUGAAGUUUGGAGACAAUAUUCUGUGUUAUUUUAAGAAAAGAUUCUAUAGCAUUAUUACCUGGUGGUAAGAAAAUAACAUGUAAAAGAAAAGGUAAUAAGAAUAAAAAAAAUAAGUAAAAGUAUGUGAACAUGCUAGACCUG